GAUGAACGCUGACAGAAUGCUUAACACAUGCAAGUCUAAGGCGAAGCUCUGCCUGCACAGCCUAGCCAAGGCGGACGGGUGAGUAACGCGUAAGGAACUUGCCCUGCAGUCAGGGAUAACAGACGGAAACGACUGAUAAGACCUGGUAAAGUCAGGCGCACUCAUGUCCAGCCUGAUGAAAAGAGAUGCUGCAGGAGAGCCUUGCGUCCUAUUAGCAUGUUGGUGGGGUAGCGGCGCACCACGGCGAUGAUAGGUAGUCGGCGUGAGAGGGUGGACGGCCACAAGGGGACGGAGAUACGGCCGUUACUCCUACGGGAGGCAGCAGUGGGGAAUAGUGGACAAUGGGGGCAACACUGAUCCAGAAAUUCUGUGUGGACGAUGAAGGUUUUCGGAGUGUAAAGUGUUUUCAGCAGGGAAGAAGAAAAUGACGGUACCUGCAGAAGAAGCGACGGCUAAAUACGUG
rnacentral:rRNA from 1 species